AUGUUCCUGUCAACCUUCCAUAUCCCAGAGGGUAACAAAAAAUUGUCAAGCAUUACACUCUGGCCUCUCUGAAUUGUGAGCAUUAUAACUCACAUUCUAUAGCACCUAAGUGAAAGCACAACAGUAACAAAAUGAGAAAUGAUGAUAAGGAUGGUUUGAAAGACAAUAAAACUCUAGUUAUCACCAAGAAACUUCCAAAAUGUAAGAAGAAACAUAUUUUGAAAAGAUUCAGUCAUACUGACUUGAAAUAUUACUCAAUGCUCUUAGCACAGAGUACACUUUCUUUAUUCACACAUAUACACAUACUCUAAAUUGUAUAUAUACAGAUAUACAGAGUAUAUAUUUAUCACACAUGAACCUUUUUUUUCUUGUAUGCAUGAUGACACACUUCUGGUUUAAAUUAAUCUUUCCAAGUUUAUGCAGGAAAAAUUACAUAAGACUUACAAUUCCUUCCAUUACUUUAAAAAGCUAGUCAUGCCUCAGCAAAAGCCAAGACUGCUUAUGGUGUACAAUCUGAAACCCAAUUCUCUCUCGGCACUUUAACACUAGAUCUGUCACCCUUUAACACCACAAAAUCAAUACCCUGGAAUGUCAUGGUUCUCUGAUGGCCCACAAAGUCAAGGCAUGAUCAAUUUCAACUUCCUUAUGAGACAGAAAUAGACUUAGACAAAUAAAAAGAUUUCAUUCAAGUUAAAUUCAAUAAAACAAAGGAAUAAGGGUAGAGAGAGUCAAAGUUGUUAGAAUUUAGUCCAAUAAAUUUAUACUUAAAUCUAGAUCCAUUUUCAAAUCCAACUAAAUUGCAUACCUAGAUAAAAGGUAUGUAGUAGAACAUAAAAGAAGCCUGCAAUUUACUAUGGCUCCCCAGAUUAAGAAAUACUGUCACUUAAAUGUGAGUAUGUGCGUGUGUGUGCAUGCAUGGAUUUGCUUCUUCUAUUGCGUUAGUUAAAAAGCAGUGGGGACAGGAUGGUGUCUGAGCUCUUUACUGUAUAUCCCUAGAAAAUAGGGGAGUUUUUGGCUUCACUGCUCAGUAAGAAUAAGAAUCUUAUCUUUCUUGUCAUAAACUGUAUAUCCUAUAUUUAGAACAGUCCAAGACACAGAGUAAGCCCUUAAUAAAUAUUUGAUUAGUGUAUGAAAAUCAAUGCAUACAUUAAAUAUAAUCUGGAACAUAAACUUAACUGAGGGUAAAACUUCUUCUUUCUUGUUCAUGGCUGUAUCCCUGGCUUCUCUAGUGCCUAGGCCACAACAAGCACUCAAUAAACAUCUGCUGGAGUUCCCAAUGCGAGGGCUUAUGUGUACAGUUUUGUUUGUUUUGUUGACAAUGAAGAAAAACUCCUGGGUUUCGCUACAAUCCUAGUUUAACAGUAGUCAUUUUUCAGACACAAGACUGUUCAAAUAAGGUCAGUUCUUUGUAACUAGGACAAAAUUUUGAAUUUGUUGAAAAUAAAAAGUAGAAAUUAGGUAUAUGAAGUGCAGGAGAUUUAUUUCCAUCUGGUGACAAGAAAUAGACCAAAUGUGUCCUGUGUUAAGACAUUCAGGUAACUGAUUUUGUCAGUGAAAUCUUAGCUUCCAGUGGAAAGAAGUUUUAUGACAUGUCCUUCCUAGGACAGAAAAGACCCACAUUUAGUAUGUUUAUACCUUAAAUUGUCACAGCUCAGAUCUAAGUCACCUGUUCACUUGUGGGAUUCAGUAGCAAAAAUAACAGCAAUAUAGAGUAAGCCGAGAAGCUUAUAUCUUGUGUGGUUUUCUUUAAUAAUAAACCUUGAACUAUAAACUGACUUUUUUAAAGACACAUUAGAGACAAACUAUAUUUUUCCCUUUAAAAUAUGGUUCAUUGCAUAAUUUCAGCAAUAACCAAUGUGAUCUUUUGAUAAUGAUUAAUGAAACAUGUUCAUUUUUCCAAUCUUUCAGUGAGGAAGCUGUAUUUCAUUCCUAUGUUUUUAAUAGGAAUUAUGGUCCCCUUCUAGUUUAUAGUCAUCUGAAGCACAGAUUAUAACUUUAAUUCUAACUUCUAGGAAGAGAAGUUAGCAUGAUGUAGGCAUUCAAUUAGUAUUCGUGGGGGGAAUGAAUCUAUAAAGAAAGAAUAGUGUCUCUGAGCUCUCUAUUCCCACCUGAGUUUCAUAUUUCUCUUUCCAUUUACUUCACCCCAAACAAUCUCCAUAACAAAUACAUUGGGUAACAGGGUUAAGCCACUCCGCACUAUUUUUUACUGUUAAGAAGCAGGAAGUCAUAAACCAAUUUUAAACCACAAUCCCAUAACUAAGGAAACCUGCCAAAAUACAUGAAAGCCAUAAAGAUUUAUUUCUUAAAAGGCAAGAAAACCUGAUGGAUUAUUUCAAGCAAGGACAACUGGAAUUUGGUGCAUUAGCAGUAUCUGCGGGAUCGACUUUUAGAACAGAUUUUCCUUGUUUGAAAACAGAGCAGGAAAUGAUGUUAAUCUCUAAGCGGAGGAAGCUGUUCACGGCCCUCUAAUCAGAGCAUGGUAUACUUGAAUCAUCCCCCCUUUCAUUUUUCGACUCAGAUUACCCAUCAAGCCUGCGCCAGCGGCCAUUAUAAGUAUACCACUCUUAAUAAAUUCAUUGAAUGUUUUGUAAGUACAAAGCCUGCAGGAUUGGACACUUCAGACUAAAUUUUAGCUGUAUAAUCAAGAAUAUGGCUGAAAACGCCAAUUAAUAGUGCAAAGCACAAAUAAUCAAAUUUUAGCUCUAGAAAAGCCCUUUCUGGACUAAAAAUAUCCACUAUGUAAUCUAUCCCUGAUUUUGCAUAGUGGCUCACCAGAAUAUUAACAAUCAAAG
ensembl:lncRNA